UAAGCUUCUUGGUAUGUCAUUCUUUCAUUAUCUUCAGUAGGCUCACUGUACCUUACAAAACAUGAUUUUUUUGAACCUAAAUAUGAAAUGAAGAUUUGGCUAAAAUUAGUUAAAGUAAUCUCUGUUGGGAACUUCAAAUAUAGCUUAACGAAGCCUCUGUCAUGUGAUGAUGUAAUGAGAUAAUACUGGAAUGGCUGCAAGGAUUUCACAUGAUUUUUUAAAAUACUUCUUUAAAAUAGUUGAGGUGGUACAGUUUCCAUUUUCAGUGGGAGGGCCACCUUUCAAAGGCCACCUGGAUAAGAAACAGAAUAAGAUGCAAAUAGUAGGAAAGCACAUCUUUAACACAGAGCCUUCAAGAAUAUCAAGACAGCAAUAAAAGAGAGGAGGUACUGAGAGCAUUUCAAACACAUAUAUAUGUUUUUUUCUUCCCAAUCUGUGGUGAGGUCUGGAGCAUCUGUCUUGUGAGGAAAGACUGAGAGACGUGGAACUGCUUAGUGUGCAGAAGAGAAGACUGAAGGGGAUCUUAUCAGCACUUAUUAAUAUCUAAAGUAUGAGUGUUAAUGGGAUGGAACCAGGCGUUUUUUCAGAGGUGCCCCAGAACAGGACAAGGGGUAGCGGGCACAAAUUGAAACAUAGGAAGUUCCAUAUAUGUGAGUUCUAUUUAUGAGAAAUAACUUCUUCACUUAACUUUUCUUUAUGGUUUUCUGUGGUUUUGUACUCUCUUAUUUUAUUUCUUCGUUAUGGAAGCUGUUUUAACUGUCCAUUACCUAAACACAUGACUAGAAAAUGAAUUUUUCUCCUUCUCUGAUAUAGCAUUCCCUGGUCAUUCGACUUUUUCAGGGAGGGCUUUUCAAUCCAAGCUGAGCAGGCAAGGGAAGAAACAGUCCUGCAAGCCAAGCCAAGCCAGCUGAUAUUCUAUCUUGAAUUUUUUUUUUUUUUUUUUUGGUGAGACUUAUAUGGAGUUUAUUUACAUCUUUCCAUAACACAAUUAUUAAAAAAUUCUGCUAAAUUCACAAUUUUUGAUUUUAACUGAAACAAAAGAACUGGUGUACUUCAAAAAUGAUUCGCCAUUAAAAUUAGGAAAAUUUAGAAAGAAGGAAAUGUGGUAAUUAAAAUCUGAAUUCAAAUCACAUAACCUAAGCAAGACUACAAAGAAGGUAGAAAGAUUGAAUCUGUAGAGGCUUGAAUGAAUUAUAUGAAUGACUCAGAAGACUCCAUAACAAAUAUGGUGUUACUAUGGGAAGUAACAGGUAUCCUGUUGAAUAUACAAUACUAGAGAAAUAUAACUGCAACAUCUUUCUGAGAAAGAGAAACCCAAAAUUGUUUAACAGAUAUAGCAAACAAAAUUAGUAGUUAUUUUUUUACAAUGUCCUUAUUCACUGGGAAAAUUUUGGCUGUAGAUUUUGUAGAAAUAUUGCAUUGGUAUUUCUAGAUGCAACCAAUCAUUGGGGCCUCAUGGAUGCCAGAAUAUAUGGAAAUGCAAGGUAGUAAAAAGUAUUAUCUUCCCCAGGACAAGAAGCAAAGAUGUUAAAGUCUAGUAAAAGAUGAAUGUGAAGUAUUGCUGUUGUCCACAAACUCCUUCCUGGUUUCUUCGCUCAUAUCUUUCAUUCCCUCUUUUUGGAAGUGACAUGAGAUUUAAAGAAGGGUUUUAAGAUUAAGUUUCUUUCUGUGGUAAUCCUUUAAGCUCUUCCCUUUGGAUUACCAGCUUCAAGGAAAGACUGUUCAUUCACAGUGACCAAACUGUUUCAAGAAUGAGGAAUAAACAUGAGAUUGCUAAACUCUCA
rnacentral:lncRNA from 1 species